rnacentral:rRNA from 1 species
CAUGCAUGUCUAAGUAUAAAUUCUUGUACGAUGAAACUGCAGACGGCUCAUUACAACAGUGAUAAACUAAUAGACUUUCGGGUUUUACCUUUUGGAUAACCGCAGUAAAUCGGGGCUAAUACAUAGAAGCGAGGGGUGACUGAUUUAUCGGAAGCUCCGCGAUUAUUAGCAUUCAACCAAUACCCGCAAGGGUUCUGUUGGUGAAACCGAAUAAUAUUGCAGAUCGAAGAUUUAUCUUCGACAAGUCUACUGUGUCACUGCCCUAUCAACUUUCGAUGGUACGGUAUUGGCCUACCAUGGUUGUAACGGGUAACGGGGAAUUAGGGUUCGAUUCCGGAGAGGGAGCCUGAGAAAUGGCUACCACUUCUACGGAAGGCAGCAGGCGCGCAAAUUACUCAAUCCCAAUACGGGGAAGUAGUGACAAUAAAUAUCGAUGCCUAUCCAUUUAUGGAAGGGUAAUUGAAAUGAACACAAAUUAAAACUCUUAAUUAAUACAAUUGGAGGGCAAGUCUGGUGCCAGCAGCCGCGGUAAUUCCAGCUCCAAUAGCAUAUACUAAAGUUGUUGCAGUUAAAAAGCUCGUAGUUGAAGUUAAAGCUUUAUUUGGGUUAAAAAUCCAUUUGCCUUUUAACGGUUAAAUAGGAUUCCAGUAUUGCUUUUUUAAAGUUCAGUUUGUAUUGCCUUUGGUAGUAUUUAUUUGGACAUUUCACUGUGAGAAAAUUGUGGUGUUUAAAGCAGGCGUCUCUGUCUGAUCUUUUGCAGCAUGGUAUGAUGGAACAUGACAUUUUGCG